GAUGAACGCUGGCGGCGUGCCUAAUACAUGCAAGUCGAGCGAACGGACGAGAAUCUUGCUUCUCUGAUGUUAGCGGCGGACGGGUGAGUAACACGUGGAUAACCUACCUAUAAGACUGGGAUAACUUCGGGAAACCGUAGCUAAUACCGGAUAAUAUUUUGAACCGCAUGGUUCAAAAGUGAAAGACGGUCUUGCUGUCACUUAUAGAUGGAUCCGCGCUGCAUUAGCUAGUUGGUAAGGUAGCGGCUUACCAAGGCAACGAUGCAUAGCCGACCUGAGAGGGUGAUCGGCCACACUGGAACUGAGACACGGUCCAGACUCCUACGGGAGGCAGCAGUAGGGAAUCUUCCGCAAUGGGCGAAAGCCUGACGGAGCAACGCCGCGUGAGUGAUGAAGGUCUUCGGAUCGUAAAACUCUGUUAUUAGGGAAGAACAUAUGUGUAAGUAACUGUGCACAUCUUGACGGUACCUAAUCAGAAAGCCACGGCUAACUACGUG
rnacentral:rRNA from 1 species